rnacentral:rRNA from 1 species
UACGGGGGGGAGCAAGCGUUGUUCGGAUUUACUGGGCGUAAAGCGCGUGUAGGCGGCCCGGUAAGUCCGCUGUGAAAGUCGGGGGGCUCAACCCUCGGAUGCCGGUGGAUACUGUCGGGCUAGAGUGCGGAAGAGGCGAGUGGAAUUCCUGGUGUAGCGGUGAAAUGCGCAGAUAUCAGGAGGAACACCAAUAGCGAAGGCAGCUCGCUGGGACGGUACUGACGCUAAGGCGCGAAAGCGUGGGGAGCGAACAGG